rfam:Heligmosomoides polygyrus genome assembly, scaffold: HPBE_scaffold0002641
GUGGUGUAAGGCAUAGCACCGCUGCCUGGAAAGCAGAAGGUGCGGGUUCGAAUCCCGCC